rnacentral:rRNA from 1 species
UACGGAGGAUCCGAGCGUUAUCCGGAUUCAUUGGGUUUAAAGGGAGCGUAGGUGGAUUGUUAAGUCAGUUGUGAAAGUUUGCGGCUCAACCGUAAAAUUGCAGUUGAAACUGGCAGUCUUGAGUACAGUAGAGGUGGGCGGAAUUCGUGGUGUAGCGGUGAAAUGCUUAGAUAUCACGAAGAACUCCGAUUGCGAAGGCAGCUCACUGGACUGCAACUGACACUGAGGCUCGAAAGCGUGGGUAUCAAACAGG